ACAGCAGUCGCCGCGGGAAUACAGAGGGUGCGAGCGUUAAUCGGAUUUACUGGGCGUAAAGCGUGCGUAGGCGGCUUCUUAAGUCGGAUGUGAAAUCCCUGAGCUUAACUUAGGAAUUGCAUUCGAUACUGGGAAGCUAGAGUAUGGGAGAGGAUGGUAGAAUUCCAGGUGUAGCGGUGAAAUGCGUAGAGAUCUGGAGGAAUACCGAUGGCGAAGGCAGCCAUCUGGCCUAAUACUGACGCUGAGGUACGAAAGCAUGGGGAGCAAACAGGAUUAGAGACCCGCGUAGUCCCUGUCUCUUAUAC
rnacentral:rRNA from 1 species